AGGAAGAGACAAAAAGAACUGGAAGAAGUUGGGGAAAAAAGGGUAAAAGUUACUCAGAAGUGAAAAACAAGUUUUGAAUAAAAUAAGAUGGAUCAAUUAAGAGUUCCCACAUUUCUAAAAAUGUUGAGAAAUCCAGCAGAAAACUGGAAAAGUUUUAAACAAGAGCUUGAUUUAUUUCUGAGGGCAUAAGGAAGAGGAACAAAAGAUUGUCAUCUUUUUGGAUAUUGCAGAAUGUCCAGGAAGAUUGAAGUGUUCUCCUACUGGCUUUUGUAUGUUACAUUCCUGAUGUCCGAUUUGUGUCUGACAAUAUCAGUAAACUUUACACGUGUUUGCAUCAAAAAACUUAAGAACGUCCAGACUCAGUCAGACCAAAGGUCCAUCUAGCCUACUAUCCUGUCUUCCAACAGUGGCCAAUGUCAAGUGCUUCAGAGGGAUUGAACAGAACAGAAAGCACAAGCAGAAUGCUUUAUGAUGUUCCCACCUCUGAAGCUGCACAAGACAUGCCAUUUAUAUAUCAUCAGUCAAGCGACAAACAAAUUCCCUUUUAUUGGCAGGACUUAUUGCCACAGCAGCACAAAUGCAGAAGCUUAGUUCUUGAAGAAAAAGGUUUUUGACCUGGCAGAUGGGUCCAAGACUGGAAAAUUCUGGCCUCACAACACAGAGACUAACAGCACAUGUUGUUUCUUAAUUUACAGAUUUUAUAUGUCUAUGUUGUUGUUUUCAAAAACAAUCCACCAAUCUGUUGAUCAGAUUUAAAGAUGGGGGAGGCAAGGGGAAGCUGUGUUAAGGCUGUAUUCUUACCCGACUCCAAAGCACACAUUUUCCAUGAGAGAUGGUUUGAGGGAGCCAAGUCUCUUGCCCCAGCCAGUCCAGCUCUACUCGUAAGUUAGAACAGGCCCCAACAAAUCUUUGGGCUUUGCUCUCUCUCUCUCUCUCUCUCGGGUUUACCCAGUGGAUCCAAAUGGCUGUGGAGUCAUUGGUCACACCCAUGUCCCUUCUCUGACCCCUCUGCCUCCAAUGCCAUCCCUUUGCUCUGUGGUGUGGAGAGAAAAGACUUCUAAAACUCUAAAGGGGCAGCACACAAAAAACUAAACCAAAAUAGUUACAUGGUGACAUCCACUGCACUAGUGAAUAAUUUUGUAAAAGUCAUGAUGUUUUAGUAACCUGAGGCCUCAGCACAGUGCUGAGAAGUGAUACACGAUUUAAAAACACUAAAUGCUUUAAUGGUAGGUAUAC